rnacentral:rRNA from 1 species
UACGGGGGGGGCAAGCGUUGUUCGGAAUUACUGGGCGUAAAGGGCUCGUAGGCGGCCAACUAAGUCAGACGUGAAAUCCCUCGGCUUAACCGGGGAACUGCAUCUGAUACUGGAUGGCUUGAGUUCGGGAGAGGGAUGCGGAAUUCCAGGUGUAGCGGUGAAAUGCGUAGAUAUCUGGAGGAACACCGGUGGCGAAGGCGGCGUGCUGGACCCGAUCUGACGCUGAGGCGCGAAAGCCAGGGGAGCAAACGGG